AGAGUUUGAUCCUGGCUCAGGAUGAACGCUAGCUACAGGCUUAACACAUGCAAGUCGAGGGGCAGCAUCAUCAAAGCUUGCUUUGAUGGAUGGCGACCGGCGCACGGGUGAGUAACACGUAUCCAACCUGCCGACAACACUGGGAUAGCCUUUCGAAAGAAAGAUUAAUACCGGAUGGCAUAGUUUUCCCGCAUGGGAUGGUUAUUAAAGAAUUUCGGUUGUCGAUGGGGAUGCGUUCCAUUAGGCAGUUGGCGGGGUAACGGCCCACCAAACCAACGAUGGAUAGGGGUUCUGAGAGGAAGGUCCCCCACAUUGGAACUGAGACACGGUCCAAACUCCUACGGGAGGCAGCAGUGAGGAAUAUUGGUCAAUGGACGAGAGUCUGAACCAGCCAAGUAGCGUGAAGGAUGACUGCCCUAUGGGUUGUAAACUUCUUUUAUACGGGAAUAAAGUGAGCCACGUGUGGCUUUUUGUAUGUACCGUAUGAAUAAGGAUCGGCUAACUCCGUGCCAGCAGCCGCGGUAAUACGGAGGAUCCGAGCGUUAUCCGGAUUUAUUGGGUUUAAAGGGAGCGUAGGCGGGUUGUUAAGUCAGUUGUGAAAGUUUGCGGCUCAACCGUAAAAUCGCAGUUGAUACUGGCGACCUUGAGUGCAACAGAGGUAGGCGGAAUUCGUGGUGUAGCGGUGAAAUGCUUAGAUAUCACGAAGAACUCCGAUUGCGAAGGCAGCUUACUGGAUUGUAACUGACGCUGAUGCUCGAAAGUGUGGGUAUCAAACAGGAUUAGAUACCCUGGUAGUCCACACAGUAAACGAUGAAUACUCGCUGUUGGCGAUAUACUGUCAGCGGCCAAGCGAAAGCAUUAAGUAUUCCACCUGGGGAGUACGCCGGCAACGGUGAAACUCAAAGGAAUUGACGGGGGCCCGCACAAGCGGAGGAACAUGUGGUUUAAUUCGAUGAUACGCGAGGAACCUUACCCGGGCUUAAAUUGCAACUGACGGAACCGGAAACGGUUCUUUCUUCGGACAGUUGUGAAGGUGCUGCAUGGUUGUCGUCAGCUCGUGCCGUGAGGUGUCGGCUUAAGUGCCAUAACGAGCGCAACCCUUACGGGUAGUUACCAUCAGGUUAUGCUGGGGACUCUACCCGGACUGCCGUCGUAAGAUGUGAGGAAGGUGGGGAUGACGUCAAAUCAGCACGGCCCUUACGUCCGGGGCUACACACGUGUUACAAUGGGGGGUACAGAAGGCAGCUACACGGCGACGUGGUGCUAAUCCCAAAAGCCUCUCUCAGUUCGGAUUGGAGUCUGCAACCCGACUCCAUGAAGCUGGAUUCGCUAGUAAUCGCGCAUCAGCCACGGCGCGGUGAAUACGUUCCCGGGCCUUGUACACACCGCCCGUCAAGCCAUGAAAGCCGGGGGUACCUGAAGUACGUAACCGCGAGGAGCGUCCUAGGGUAAAACUGGUGAUUGGGGCUAAGUCGUAACAAGGUAGCC
rnacentral:rRNA from 1 species